GCCUAUCUCUUAAUUAAGUUGACGGAAACUGGGCUGAUUGGUCUCAGUGGUCUACGUGUGAUGUAACUUGUGAAAACGGUACACAGACAAGAACACGAACCUGCACAAACCCAGCACCAGCUCAUGGCGGAUUAAAUUGUACUGGAAGUGACAUAGAAUAUACGAAUUGUUACAGAAAACUGUGUCCGGUUCAUGGAGGCUGGAGUGUCUGGGGGCCGUGGGAAUUGUGUUCAGUCACCUGUGACGCGGGGAUUCAAAGGAGGCACCGAACGUGUUCAAACCCCUUUCCAGAAAGGUAUGGUGACCAUUGUUUCGGUGAUGGAAUGGAUGAUAGACUAUGCAUGCCUGGUUCAUGUACAGAUGGUGGAUGGGCAACGUGGGGUACAUGGAAUACAUGUAGUGUUACAUGUGGAGGAGGAAUUAAAGCUCGAUCACGAACAUGCACCAACCCACGCCCGUCACCAGCUGGAAAACAUUGCGAAGGUGAUUCGUUUUUCUAUUCACUACAUGCAGCAGUAACCCAUGCCACUGUGACUCAUUGCCAAGUAUCAAGGAUGGAACAGUGACAACCCCUGCCACAUCGCACGGGGCUACGGCUACAUAUACAUGCAUUGCCGAUUAUGCCCCUACG